ensembl:lncRNA
UGGAUUUGUUGGAGCCAAAAAGAAACAAAACUAACUGCACCACCUCAACACCUGAAAUUGAAAAGUCCUUGGCCGUGGUACAAGAAGCACAAUGAACACUAAGUCAGCCAAACUCAAUUCAAUUGACCACGGGAAUCAAGCAUGUGGUAUCUGAGACUAUUACAGAAGAAAGAAAACAGGAAAGAAUAUAAGCCAUCUCUGUUGCUUAAAGUGGGGUAGCAGCUGAGUCAAAGCUGGGAUUAUCAGGGGGUGCCUUGGACCUCUGUGGAAACACUUAUCAGUGAGACAAAGACAAGUUUUCAACCGAAGAGUUGUACCUUUUUCAAGAAGUAGAAAAGGCCUUACAGGUCAGCAUCUACAGCCCCUGAAUAUGGAAACAACUGCUCAGUCAUCCACUUACCCUCUCACUGGCAAGUUUUGCAUAUAUGGACUGUCAGAGCAAGAAUCCCAUUGACCUUGUUCAUCUCUCUAUGCCACUGACAUAAGCUUUAGUCUUUGAAUCCAUUGCCUGCCUUCCAAUUCAGUGUCUCCUCCAUGAUGGCUCAUGGCAAAACAAAGCCAAAGCAGCUUAUGGCUUGCAUUGAAGCCCAUGGUCUCUGAAGGAUUCAUGCAGCUGGCUCAGAUGUGCUUGACCUGCCACAGACUUCUCCAAAUUGAAGAGCAAGGUUGUGGAGACAGCGACUGACCAGCUGGCUCCUCACUUUUUUGCCUUAAGAAUUCUCCAUCUUUCUCAUCAUUAAGUACAUGUGCACAAGCAUGAAUACAUGUGUAAACAUGUAUGUAUGUGUCCAAGUGUGUUUGGGUGCCUUUCCAAGAGGACUUUCAAGCAAUUUUCUCCUAACUUCUCCUCCUCAAACUGAUGUGUGCCCUUCCAUCCAACAGAAAAACUUCCUCUGCCUCUUUGUAACCAAGUCCAUUUCCCUAGUUUAAGAGAGAAAAACCUCAACUAGCUCUUUUGUCAAACACAGGGUGUGUAAGAAAGGGGCAUGCUCAUAUCAGAUAUUGCCC